GACAGAGGGUGCAAACGUUGUUCGGAAUUACUGGGCGUAAAGCGCGUGUAGGCGGCUAAGUAAGUCGGGCGUGAAAUCCCACGGCUCAACCGUGGAAGUGCACUCGAAACUGCAUAGCUAGAGUCCUGGAGAGGAAGGUGGAAUGCUUGGUGUAGAAGUGAAAUUCGUAGAUAUCAAGCGGAACACCGGUGGCGAAGGCGGCCUUCUGGACAGUGACUGACGCUGAGACGCGAAAGCGUGGGGAGCAAACAGG
rnacentral:rRNA from 1 species